rnacentral:rRNA from 1 species
GACGAACGCUGGCGGCGUGCUUAACACAUGCAAGUCAAGGGGCGGAGCAAUCCGCAACCGGCGAACGGUGCGUAACACGUGAGCAACCUGCCUUAGUGUGGGGGAGUAGCCGGCCUAACGGCCGGGUAAUACCGCAUACGAUUCUCGAGCGGAGUCGCUGGAGAAGGAAACCUUUGGGGCACUAAGAGGGGCUCGCGGCCUAUCAGCUAGUUGGCGGGGUAAUGGCCCACCAAGGCGACGACGGGUAGCUGGUCUGAGAGGAUGGCCAGCCACAUUGGGACGUGAGAGACGGCCC